rnacentral:rRNA from 1 species
UGGGAGCUUGCUCCCAGGCGUCGAGCGGCGGACGGGUGAGUAACGCGUAGGAAUCUGCCCAGUAGAGGGGGAUAGCCCGGGGAAACCCGGAUUAAUACCGCAUACGCCCUACGGGGGAAAGGCCGGGAUCUUCGGACCGGUCACUAUUGGAGGAGCCUGCGUGAGAUUAGCUUGUUGGUGGGGUAAUGGCCUACCAAGGCGACGAUCUCUAGCUGGUCUGAGAGGAUGAUCAGCCACACCGGAACUGAGACACGGUCCGGACUCCUACGGGAGGCAGCAGUGGGGAAUAUUGGACAAUGGGCGCAAGCCUGAUCCAGCCAUGCCGCGUGUGUGAAGAAGGCCUUCGGGUUGUAAAGCACUUUAAGCAGUGAGGAAGGCCAUAGGGUUAAUAGCCCUGUGGAUUGACGUUAACUGCAGAAUAAGCACCGGCUAACUCCGUGCCAGCAGCCGCGGUAAUACGGAGGGUGCAAGCGUUAAUCGGAAUUACUGGGCGUAAAGCGCGCGUAGGUGGUUUGUUAAGUGAGAUGUGAAAGCCCAGGGCUCAACCUUGGAACUGCAUCUCAUACUGGCAGGCUAGAGUAUGGUAGAGGGAGGUAGAAUUCCACGUGUAGCGGUGAAAUGCGUAGAGAUGUGGAGGAAUACCAGUGGCG